AUGCAAUCAUGUUUUGAGUUGAAAUCUCACAUGUAACACCCAGUUGUAUUUUGUUCUUUUUUAUUGAGUUUUUUACUGACUUUAGAGAACUAUUUCAGGUGUUUUAAAGCUGAGCUUCAGUUUUAAUUUAUAAUGCAUAUAAUCUAUGAAAACUGUCGUAUCUUGCAGUGCACACUGUGAAUUAGAAAACUAAAGGCCUUUGCCACUACAAAGUUGGUAAGGACAAUGUGCCAUUUUGUCCAGUGUUUGGCCACAAAAUUUCAGUAAAUUUUCUGGCCUUUCGUGGAACUACAGGAUACUCUGUCAAAUUUGGCUAAUUAUCCAAUAAGUUACAUCGAGUUAAAUAACAUGGCUACUGAAAUGUGAAUAGCUUCCUUUUUAUGGAAAGACCUUGGUUCACACCAUUCUAUGUCAGUGUUAGAGAUUGGAAUGACCCUUUCACAGCUGUUUGGCCUGAUAAAUAAAAAGAAUAAAAGAAUGGACAAACAAAUACUACCUGCCUAAUAGCCGAGAGUAGGUUUUUCAAAACCGAUUAUGCUGUUUAAUAAAUAGUUUUCAUUUUCCUAAGGAGAUUCUGGGUCCCUUGUUAUAAGAUUUAUUUUCAGGCAGGUAAUCAAAAAUCUUCCUUCUUUUAAAGCUGUGAUCUUCUUGUGCAAACUAAUCUUUUUUUUUUUAAAGAAAAAUAUUACAACCCACUAUUAUAGCUGAAGGUCUUGAGCCUCUGAAACAAACAGAUGGACAUAAGAAAGUCAACGUAAAGUUUGACUUGCGGUUUCAGUGAGCUUACUGACUAUUUAAUAUGACAGGAAACCUAUUAUAAGUAGUUCUAACUUUACAGAAAAUCCUACAAAGGUCUUUUGCAAUAAGUAAAUGAAGUUGAAAUGUCAUGGCAAUGGCUUGAAGAAUAACUGGAGAAAGAUAUCACUGAGAUAUGUAAUAAACAAAAAGGGAGAAAAUACCUUCCAGAAUGACUAAAGCAGCUUCUUGUGUAUUUGUGCAGGACCUAGAAACAGCAGACUAAAGGGUAAUCAGGGGAAACUAGGGAAAACAUUACUCUUUCUCUGGCUGAUCUGAAGGUCUGCACAUGAGAGCCAUUUGGGAGCUUAGGAAGAUAAAUCUGGGGCUCUGUUCUGCAGGGGAGGACUUCUCCGUAACUUGUGCAUAAGGACCAAAGCCCUUACUCUGGCCAAGGGCCUCCAGUAGUUCGCAUGGAAGGACUGCAGAGAUGCUGCAUGUUGUGAACAAAGUUGAGUGGCUGAAACCCAGCUGAACAUGCAAGGUGCUCAUGGAAAUGUUCUGUUUAGCCUACCACAAAGGAAGUGGAAACACUCCUCAUUUGCAGUUCUGCACUUCCAAAGUACAUUUGUUGACAUUGGGUGCAGGUAGAGGCUGCUUUCGUUUGCUCUGAUUUUUAUGGUUAAUUUAGAGCCUGAGAAAAGUGCACCAUUUCCUGUGCAUUUGGUGUUUGCAGCAAGGGAACUCACACUAGCCCAGUUAGAUAUUGCAUUUGUCACCAUGCAGGCAAAUACCCUGUGAUACCUUAAGGUCCUUUUAGUUUUUUGAUUUUUCUAAUUUUUAUAAGUUUUAUAAGUAGUUAUAUAGAAGUAGAUUUAGAGGCAGCAGCCCUUAUUCUCUUACCCUUAGCAUAGUAACUACAACCCUCUUACCCCGAUUUCCCAUAUCCCUGAAUAUCCCAUAUUCCCUGAAUUCCAUUAGAAAUGUUUAGUCUCUUGUCAAGGUAGGCCUAUUCUGUUCAGAGAAGACUUGUACUUUGGCCUAAACCGCAGAGUACAGUCAAAAACUGGGUGAAUGUGUGCCCUUUGUGCUCUGAAGAAGAUGAAGACAGAUGAAGAGGUGGUCUCAAAAGACCCCAUCCCCAGUUCUCAAGGGGCAUGACUGAGGGUGGUCCAGGGCAAAAGCCAGAGAGUGGGAAAACCUUGGAUUGGACAGGCAGUGUUAUAAAUUGUAAUGUCUGAGACACGGGGGACACGCGCAUCUUGUAA